UUUUGAUGACCACAGUUCUCUCAGGCACAGAGACGAUUUCUAUAUGCAGAGAGAUGGAAAUGACAGGUUGAGAGAGCGCGAGGGUAUGGAUAAAUUGAAAUUAACUCAGGAGGAUGGCUUAUCAGCACGAGGAAGAGAGAGGCAGGUACCUACUACAAGGGGUCAUAGAGGCUCAGAAGACCGAUCAUCAUCGAUGAUGAAGGAUGAUUAUAAAACUUCUGAGAAAGAGCAUCUCACAAAAGAUUCAACAAGGCAUAGUAAACAGACGAAGAGAAGGGAAUAUCAUGGUGAAGAAAGUUCUCAUCAUAGAGGACACAGAGACUUCUCUGCACGCACAGAUGAGACUGCUAACAAUGAGAAAAUGCCAAGGCAGGAGAGAACAAGUGCUAAAAGUGACAAUGUUAUUAAUUCUUUGGACGGCCAGCAGUUGCAAGACAGAAAACAUAAAGAUUCCAGACGAAAGAUUAAAGAACAACGAGAGGGUGCCGAUUCAGUGAGGAGCAAGCAAGGAGAAGAAAAUGGCAGUUCAGAAGUAACGGUAUGCUCUAUCAGCCUAUCAACUUAUUACUCUCAUCCAAGUUUUGUAAACUUAACGUAACAUGGUUAUCGUGAAUGCAUUAGACUUUACAAAGUAUUUUGUUCCUGUGAUUAACCUCACCUAAUAAUAUAUCUCAUGGGUUUGGUCACUUUUAAUAUGCCUCAACGGGUCAGUAUUGAUGCUUCUUUCAUGCCUUCCAGGGCUCAAAAGGUAAAAACGAAGCAAGAAAUCACAGGAGUGAGAUCCCACAGCAGACUAACGCCACCAAAAGACACAAGGAGGAUGCUUCAUCUGGUGAUGAGCUGCAAGAUUCAAAGAGAGGACGUACGAAAAUGGAGCGUUGGGCAAGCCACAAAGAGAGAGAUGAUGUUGUCACUGUCACGGCAUCGUCCACUUCUUCAAAACUUCAAGAGAAGGAAAAAGGCACUAACGGCCGAGUUCUCGAACCUGUCCAUGACAAGAAUCGGGAUUUAACUGAAGAGAAAAGUAGCCAUGACCUUGCAGAGACCAAAGAUAGAAGCGAGAAGGGACCUCCAGGAGAUCGGCACUUGGACACGGUUGAGAAACUCAAGAAACGUAGUGAACGGUUCAAACUUCCAAUGCCCACGGAGAAAGAUACCACAGUCGUAAAGAAAAUGGAGUCUGAGACGCUGCCCUCUGCAAAAAUUGAAGGCCCUGUGGAUUCAGAGGUGAAAGCAGAGCGGCCAGCAAGGAAAAGACGGUGGACAAGUAGCUGAGAGCCUGGCUCUCUUUGGCUGGAUCGAGGGGUAGCUUCUUAUACUUAAACGGAUGGCAUGAGAUUCUCGCAUCCCACGGAGCAGUUGUUGCCGUGGAGGAUCAAGUUCCAUGAAGAUUAAUUAGAAGAGCUUAGGAAGAGUGUGUGGGAGUGAGCUAUGUUGUGUAAGAAUAAUACGCAUAAGGAUUUUACUUUGAGAGAAUACUCUUUUGUAGUAGUUGAUGUAAACUUUUGUCAAAGAUUAUUUGGUCUUUUAGUUUUGUUCACAUACUAAGCGCCUCAAGAGAGAGCGAGGAUAUUUAUAAAGUACUCGAGGCAUUGUAUUUUACUGUAGUAAUUUUGUUACUGUUUUUUGUAAACAACCUUUUGAACACUUGACAUUUGUAUUUUCCUUUUUCCAGGUUUAUUAUGAGGAGACAGCAACAACUAUGAAAGUAGAGACUGCUUGAUGGAGAAAGGCUCGUAAAUAGAAUACGAGCUUAUUAUCACGUUUCAAAAUCUCUUACGAAAUCAAAACUUUCCUAUUACAAACAAACAAAGUUUCUUUAGAGCUUUGAUCUAUAGUAAUAAAUCACUGUUUUGCGGCAUAUAUUGUUUAAAAUGAAUAAAACGUAAAUAGCUCAAGUUUCGAAAAUGCUGAGGGCGGGCAUGUUACAACGUAUGAAGUUAUAUGGUGUGAUUAAAUUUUUAUUCAGUGGCAAAGAGGAAUCCCAUAGCCAGUAUUGCCAGCAAGGAAAGGCACAGAUUAGCAGUGGUGGCAAUAGAGCCAGAAUGACCAGGGGCAUUUGGCGUAGCUCCAGUUGCAUUGUUGGCGGCCAUGUUUGCAACAGGAGGCAGAGGAGGAUCAAUCACGUCUUUGGCGUCAAGAGGUGGGCUUGGGGCACUAGCUGGUGGCUGUGCUUCCUUGUUUGCCACGGAGAUUAGAGAGCCAGCCUCUGCAGGUAAGAUGGCAUAGGGCUGCUCUUUGUCUAAAUCUGAGCAUGGACUCCCUGCAUUUGCAUCAAAUGUUAAGCAUCAGCUUUUGUGUUGUUAAAUGAUCAACAUUAUCUUUGUUAUGUGUAUAUAUUGGUUCUUUCAUGAAUCUUGUAGAGGUUUAGAAUUUACUUAAGUAUCUGGUGGCGGUGGCAGGGAACUCCGUGAUGACUCCAUCAACACCAUUCCCUGCAAUGAAUGUGGCAAACUCUACAGUAGGAUCAGAGAAGUAGUCGAACGCUAUGGAGAUAUACUCGUUCCUUAGCACCGAGACAUAAACAGAGAUAUUCCCCUUGUGCAUUUCCUCCACUACGUUGGUCUUCCCUGCGGCAAAGCUUCCGGAGAUGGUGACGAGAGAACUUCUCAAGAUAUUGACAGCAUCUGCAUGCUUCUUGAUUUCGUCAACGGAUGCCUUGGGAGCAUCUCCUAUUUCCUUGUCGAUGCUCAAGACUCUAGUGUAGGGAGGGACAGCCUCAAAACCGGCCAGAACUGAACUGUCAUCUGACUGAAUCAAUACCCUUUGGGUUGUUUGCUUGUCGAGUGUGGAUUUGGUCAGAGCGGACUUGACUGCGUCUACGAUUCCUAAGCCUUUCUUUGAGGCUAAAUAAGCAGCAUUCUGUCAAAACAAAAAAAACAAGGCGUUAGUGGUGAUGCUUUGAGUAAGUUAAAGGAGCAUUAAUGAAAAAAGGGGCAUAUGCCUGGAUGUUGACAAGAACUCCAGUGACUGCCUUUUCUUUGCUGAACUUAAGGAAGUCAUCAAGAGUUACGAACUUCCCGGCAUUCUUGUUUGCUGGGUUUCUCGAGAUUCCCACCUUAGCUAUGAAAGGGCUCUGGAUUUGAGCUGUAGGCAGAGACAUCCCACUGUCAAAAUAAGCAUUCUACUCGACCAGCUAGCAGUAAGAAACAUCACGAUAACAGUGCACCGUAUCAGAGCAGAAAGAAUCAAGACAGAGGGAAAGAAAUGGAAAGAACUCGAGCGGCGAGCAAAGGUGGUAGGGAGUACUCAAAUCCUCAUACGGACGUUGAUUACUCAAUUGCAAGGGGCGACGAUUAUGAUAGAAGGAAAGAGCGAGAUGUUGAUGGGGGGUUCUGGCGCAGGAAAGAGGAUGACCCAUUCAGUAGAAGAGGUGGGGAUGAAGGGUUUAGAAAAAGGGAUCGUGAAGAGGAUCUGGGCUCUAAGCAGAGGGGUAAAAUGAGAGAGAGUGACAUACGCAACAAAGAUGAUCAUCAUGUUCCAUCGAGAAAGCAUUUGGACGAUGGUGGUUUAAGAAAUAGUUAUGAACUGGAUGAUCACAUCGGGAAGAGGAGGAAGGAUGAAGAAUACUUAAGAAGAAACCGCUCUGAAAAGAACGAAAUCUCAUAUGGUCAAAGAGAAUCAUCAACCAGCCGCCUGAAACGAGAACGGGGUGAUAGGUUGGACCAUCAAAAGAGAGAUGUCCAACAUAAAAGCAGAGAUGAUUUUGAUGACCACAGUUCUCUCAGGCACAGAGACGAUUUCUAUAUGCAGAGAGAUGGAAAUGACAGGUUGAGAGAGCGCGAGGGUAUGGAUAAAUUGAAAUUAACUCAGGAGGAUGGCUUAUCAGCACGAGGAAGAGAGAGGCAGGUACCUACUACAAGGGGUCAUAGAGGCUCAGAAGACCGAUCAUCAUCGAUGAUGAAGGAUGAUUAUAAAACUUCUGAGAAAGAGCAUCUCACAAAAGAUUCAACAAGGCAUAGUAAACAGACGAAGAGAAGGGAAUAUCAUGGUGAA
rnacentral:lncRNA from 1 species